ACACUGCCUCGUGGGAAGCUUCAGGAAUCUGCUGUGCAGGGGGCAGAUCUCAGCUCUGAGAGGCAGGAGUGCUGAGCUCAGGGGGCUGGAGCUGAGAGUGCGGGUCUGUUAGCUAUUGGUUGUGGGGGUUAGCCAUAAGGUGACGAGGCAUGUUUCCAGCUCAUUAAGGGCCUUGGGUGCUGGCUAAGGAAGUUUCUCCUGGCUGCUGAGCUGAUCAAGUCUGUGGGGAAGAUCUGUGGCAGCUGUGUGUGGGCUGGCAGGAAGAGGGGGAGGGACUGCAGAACAAGACUAGAGGAGAGGGCUCCAGAAGGGCAAAUCUGAUGUUCUUCUCCUCCUCCUCCCCACACACAGAAGAAUGGUCUCUGGACUCAAGACACAGACUCAAGACCUCUUCCGCUUGUGGCAGACAUGCGUGCUCUCCAUCAUUCGCUAACAAGACGUCACAGCAUCUGUCUCCCUUGUGAUUAAAAACGUGCGGGGAGCUAGAACACACAUAUGCCUCAAAUGCUUCUGUUCCAAUAAGAGAAAACUCACAGCUGGCCCUGGGCUGGGGCCAGCCCAUCCAGAUCUGAGCAUAGGAAGACAAGAGGCUUGGUCCUGAACUUCAAGAACAAGCUGAAAACACCAGCUAGCCCCCAGCUAGCUCUCCGUGGGAGUUGGCCACUGACGCCAUCGUGGAGCCCACAGAGGAGCAGUUUAAUCCCAAUACUUAAUACCACCGAUUACUGGGGAGCUGUGCUGAAGACACCUUCUCUCUUAGGCUCCAUUUCUCAUCCUAAGGGACUUAAUGAAUAUGCACCCACACUUCAUUAUGGGAAAUUUCAAAAGCCUCUGAAGAAAACGAAAGCAGAUUUUGAGUGACACCUUAUAAGAGAAUAGAGAGGAAAUACUAGCAGAAUUUUCAAUCUUGAUUUUAUAAUCCAUUUGCUGAGAUCUGGUUUUACAAGAAUAAAGAAAAGCCCCUAAGCAUA